rnacentral:rRNA from 1 species
UGAGCAAUCUGCCCUUCUCUUUGGAAUAAGCGUUGGAAACGACGUCUAAUGCCGAAUACGACCUCCUUUCGCAUGAUCGGAGGUGGAAAGCUCCGGCGGAGAAGGAUGAGCUCGCGGCCUAUCAGCUAGUUGGUGUGGGUAAUGGCCCACCAAGGCGACGGCGGGUAGCCGGCCUGAGAGGGCGACCGGCCACACUGGGACUGAGACACGGCCCAGACCUCCGUACGGGAGGNAG